rnacentral:rRNA from 1 species
GGUGGCGACCGGCGCACGGGUGAGUAACGCGUAUGCAACCUACCUAUCAGAGGGGAAGUAACCCGGCGAAAGUCGGACUAAUACCGCAUAAAACAGGGGCACCGCAUGGUGAUAUUUGUUAAAGAAAUUCGCUGAUAGAUGGGCAUGCGUUCCAUUAGGUAGUUGGUGAGGUAACGGCUCACCAAGCCGACGAUGGAUAGGGGAACUGAGAGGUUGGUCCCCCACACUGGUACUGAGACACGGACCAGACUCCUACGGGAGGCAGCAGUGAGGAAUAUUGGUCAAUGGGGCGGGAGCCUGAACCAGCCAAGUCGCGUGGAAAAGGAAGAAGGAUCUAUGGUUCGUAAACUUCUUUUGCAGGGGAAUAAAGUGCAGGACGUGUCCUGUUUUGUAUGUACCCUGAGAAUAAGGAUCGGCUAACUCCGUGCCAGCAGCUGC